GACGAACGCUGGCGGCGCGCCUAACACAUGCAAGUCGAACGGAGCUUAGAGAGCUUGCUUUUUAAGCUUAGUGGCGAACGGGUGAGUAACGCGUGAGUAACCUGCCCUAGAGUGGGGGACAACAGUUGGAAACGACUGCUAAUACCGCAUAAGCCCACGGUACCGCAUGGUGCUGAGGGAAAAGGAUUUAUUCGCUUUAGGAUGGACUCGCGUCCAAUUAGCUAGUUGGUGAGGUAACGGCCCACCAAGGCGACGAUUGGUAGCCGGACUGAGAGGUUGAACGGCCACAUUGGGACUGAGACACGGCCCAGACUCCUACGGGAGGCAGCAGUGGGGGAUAUUGCACAAUGGGGGAAACCCUGAUGCAGCGACGCCGCGUGGAGGAAGGAGGUUUUCGGAUUGUAAACUCCUGUCGUUAGGGACGAUAAUGACGGUACCUAACAAGAAAGCACCGGCUAACUACGUGCCAGCAGCCGCGGUAAAACGUAGGGUGCAAGCGUUGUCCGGAAUUACUGGGUGUAAAGGGAGCGCAGGCGGGAAGACAAGUUGGAAGUGAAAACCAUGGGCUCAACCCAUGAAUUGCUUUCAAAACUGUUUUUCUUGAGUAGUGCAGAGGUAGAUGGAAUUCCCAGUGUAGCGGUGGAAUGCGUAGAUAUCGGGAGGAACACCAGUGGCGAAGGCGGUCUACUGGGCACCAACUGACGCUGAGGCUCGAAAGCAUGGGUAGCAAACAGGAUUAGAUACCCUGGUAGUCCAUGCCGUAAACGAUGAUUAAUUAGGUGUUGGGGGAUUGACCCCCUCAGUGCCGCAGGUAACACAAUAAGUAAUCCACCUGGGGAGUACGACCGCAAGGUUGAAACUCAAAGGAAUUGACGGGGGCCCGCACAAGCAGUGGAGUAUGUGGUUUAAUUCGAAGCAACGCGAAGAACCUUACCAGGUCUUGACAUCCGAUGCAUAGCACAGAGAUGAGUGAAAUCCUUCGGGACAUCGAGACAGGUGGUGCAUGGUUGUCGUCAGCUCGUGUCGUGAGAUGUUGGGUUAAGUCCCGCAACGAGCGCAACCCUUAUUGCCAGUUACUACGUUAAGAGGACUCUGGCGAGACUGCCGUUGACAAAACGGAGGAAGGUGGGGAUGACGUCAAAUCAUCAUGCCCUUUAUGACCUGGGCUACACACGUACUACAAUGGCGUUAAACAAAGAGAAGCAAGACCGCGACGGUGGAGCAAAACUCAAAAACAACGUCUCAGUUCAGAUUGCAGGCUGCAACUCGCCUGCAUGAAGUCGGAAUUGCUAGUAAUCGCGGAUCAGCAUGCCGCGGCC
rnacentral:rRNA from 1 species